rnacentral:rRNA from 1 species
AUCUAUGGGCACACCACUCUGAACUCGCCCAAUCUCACCUGAUCUCAGACACGAAGCAGGGUCGGACCUGGUUUGUGCUUGGAUGGGAGAACAUACCCAGAAACAAGACUUCAAGUAAU